GGAGAGAUAGCUCAGUGGGUAAGAGCACUGACUGCUCUUCAAGAGUUUCUGAGAUCAAUUCUCAGCAACUACA
rnacentral:tRNA from 1 species